GACGAAGGGGGCUAGCGUUGUUCGGAAUUACUGGGCGUAAAGCGCGCGUAGGCGGCUUUGUAAGUUAGAGGUGAAAGCCCGGGGCUCAACCCCGGAACUGCCUUUAAGACUGCAUCGCUUGAAUCCGGGAGAGGUGAGUGGAAUUCCGAGUGUAGAGGUGAAAUUCGUAGAUAUUCGGAAGAACACCAGUGGCGAAGGCGGCUCACUGGACCGGUAUUGACGCUGAGGUGCGAAAGCGUGGGGAGCAAACAGG
rnacentral:rRNA from 1 species